rnacentral:ribozyme from 1 species
CUUCCUCUUUUUCUUUCAUCCCUUCCUCCACUGUCUCUGCUUCCUUCUUUGAGCGGUGCUCGAACAACAGAAGGAAAAGGAAGAAAGAUGAUGAUGAAGAUGAGGGCAGGCAGACA